AGUGAACGCUGGCGGUAGGCCUAACACAUGCAAGUCGAACGGCAGCACAGUAAGAGCUUGCUCUUACGGGUGGCGAGUGGCGGAUGGGUGAGGAAUACAUCGGAAUCUACUUUUUCGUGGGGGAUAACGUAGGGAAACUUACGCUAAUACCGCAUACGACCUACGGGUGAAAGCAGGGGAUCUUCGGACCUUGCGCGAUUGAAUGAGCCGAUGUCGGAUUAGCUAGUUGGCGGGGUAAAGGCCCACCAAGGCGACGAUCCGUAGCUGGUCUGAGAGGAUGAUCAGCCACACUGGAACUGAGACACGGUCCAGACUCCUACGGGAGGCAGCAGUGGGAAAUAUUGGACAAUGGGCGCAAGCCUGAUCCAGCCAUACCGCGUGGGUGAAGAAGGCCUUCGGGUUGUAAAGCCCUUUUGUUGGGAAAGAAAAGCAGCAGGUUAAUACCCCGCUGUUCUGACGGUACCCAAAGAAUAAGCACCGGCUAACUUCGUG
rnacentral:rRNA from 1 species